UUCCGGUUGAUUCCUGCCAGAGGUCACUGCUAUCGGUGUUCGACUAAGCCAUGCGAGUCAAAUGUUCUUCGUGAACAUGGCGUACUGCUCAGUAACACGUGGAUAACCUGCCCUUAGGUCUGGCAUAACCCCGGGAAACUGGGGAUAAUUCCGGAUAGAUCAUCGAUGCUGGAAUGCGCUUUGAUCCAAAGCUAUUGUGCCUAAGGAUGGGUCUGCGGUCUAUCAGGUUGUAGUGGGUGUAAUGUACCUACUAGCCUACGACGGAUACGGGUUGUGGGAGCAAGAGCCCGGAGAUGGAUUCUGAGACAUGAAUCCAGGCCCUACGGGGCGCAGCAGGCGCGAAAACUUUACAAUGCAGGGAACCGCGAUAAGGGGACACCGAGUGCCAGCAUCCUAUGUUGGCUGUCCAUAUGUCUAAAUCACAUGUGUUAGCAAGGGCCGGGCAAGACCGGUGCCAGCCGCCGCGGUAACACCGGCGGCCCGAGUGGUGGCCACUAUUAUUGGGUCUAAAGGGUCCGUAGCCGGUUUGGUCAGUCUUCCGGGAAAUCUGACGGCUCAACCGUUAGGCUUUCGGGGGAUACUACCAGGCUUGGGACCGGGAGAGGUAAGAGGUACUACGGGGGUGGGAGUGAAAUCUUGUAAUCCCUGUGGGACCACCAGUGGCGAAGGCGUCUUACCAGAACGGGUCCGACGGUGAGGGACGAAAGCUGGGGGCACGAACCGGAUUAGAUACCCGGAUAGUCCCAGCUGUAAACUAUGCUCGCUAGGUGUCAGGCACGGCGCGACCGUGUCUGGUGCCGCAGGGAAGCCGUGAAGCGAGCCACCUGGGAAGUACGGUCGCAAGGCUGAAACUUAAAGGAAUUGGCGGGGGAGCACAACAACGGGUGGAGCCUGCGGUUUAAUUGGACUCAACGCCGGGA
rnacentral:rRNA from 1 species